AUUGAACGCUAGCGGGAUGCUUUACACAUGCAAGUCGAACGGCAGCGCGGACUUCGGUCUGGCGGCGAGUGGCGAACGGGUGAGUAAUGUAUCGGAACGUGCCCAGUAGCGGGGGAUAACUACGCGAAAGCGUAGCUAAUACCGCAUACGCCCUACGGGGGAAAGCAGGGGAUCGUAAGACCUUGCACUAUUGGAGCGGCCGAUAUCGGAUUAGCUAGUUGGUGAGGUAACGGCUCACCAAGGCGACGAUCCGUAGCUGGUUUGAGAGGACGACCAGCCACACUGGGACUGAGACACGGCCCAGACUCCUACGGGAGGCAGCAGUGGGGAAUUUUGGACAAUGGGGGCAACCCUGAUCCAGCCAUGCCGCGUGUGCGAUGAAGGCCUUCGGGUUGUAAAGCACUUUUGGCAGGAAAGAAACGUCGCGGGCUAAUACCCCGUGGAACUGACGGUACCUGCAGAAUAAGCACCGGCUAACUACGUG
rnacentral:rRNA from 1 species